GGAGGAAUUCAGAAUUCAGCAGGGGUACAUUCUCAGCUGAUGGAGAUGGUCAAGGGGUUACCACCAGUCUGUUUCUUGCACUGAUAAUUUUUCUAGACAUUAAAUCUCACCAUUUGUUCCCAAUAGAAAAAGAAAGACAGGACCACCAGACUCUACAGGGUGAUCUGACACUAACAACUUACCAACCAUUCUACUGAGUCAACAAAUUUCUCCUCUGUGUACAGACUUCAACCAAAGAAUCUGAUACUACCGAAUUGUGAAGUGCUGCUGAGCAGGACACACGUUCAGGAGACACAGUAUGGGAACGGAUGAGGCCAGAGUGGCCCACAGCCUGGGUGAAGAGCCCCCAAUUAUUUAUAAAGUAUUUGCUGCCUCAUUUAUGAAAAUAAAUAGUACAAAGCUAUUACAAGUA
rnacentral:antisense_RNA from 1 species